rnacentral:rRNA from 1 species
GAUGAACGCUGGCGGCGUGCCUAAUACAUGCAAGUCGAGCGAACGGACGAGAAGCUUGCUUCUCUGAUGUUAGCGGCGGACGGGUGAGUAACACGUGGAUAACCUACCUAUAAGACUGGGAUAACUUCGGGAAACCGGAGCUAAUACCGGAUAAUAUUUUGAACCGCAUGGUUCAAAAGUGAAAGACGGUCUUGCUGUCACUUAUAGAUGGAUCCGCGCUGCAUUAGCUAGUUGGUAAGGUGACGGCUUACCAAGGCAACGAUGCAUAGCCGACCUGAGAGGGUGAUCGGCCACACUGGAACUGAGACACGGUCCAGACUCCUACGGGAGGCAGCAGUAGGGAAUCUUCCGCAAUGGGCGAAAGCCUGACGGAGCAACGCCGCGUGAGUGAUGAAGGUCUUCGGAUCGUAAAACUCCGUUAUUAGGGAAGAACAUAUGUGUAAGUAACUGUGCACAUCUUGACGGUACCUAAUCAGAAAGCCACGGCUAACUACGUG